CCUUAACAUGCAAGUCGAACGGCAGCACGGACUUCGGUCUGGUGGCGAGUGGCGAACGGGUGAGUAAUGUAUCGGAACGUGCCCAGUAGCGGGGGAUAACUACGCGAAAGCGUAGCUAAUACCGCAUACGCCCUACGGGGGAAAGCAGGGGAUCGGAAGACCUUGCCCAAUUGGAGGGUCCAAUAUGAGAUUAUGAUUGUGGUGGGGAACNGGUUCAC
rnacentral:rRNA from 1 species